rnacentral:rRNA from 1 species
AUUGAACGCUGGCGGCAUGCCUUACACAUGCAAGUCGAACGGCAGCACGGGAGCAAUCCUGGUGGCGAGUGGCGAACGGGUGAGUAAUAUAUCGGAACGUGCCCAGUCGUGGGGGAUAACGCAGCGAAAGCUGUGCUAAUACCGCAUACGAUCUAUGGAUGAAAGCGGGGGAUCGCAAGACCUCGCGCGAUUGGAGCGGCCGAUAUCAGAUUAGCUAGUUGGUGAGGUAAAGGCCCACCAAGGCGACGAUCUGUAGCUGGUCUGAGAGGACGACCAGCCACACUGGAACUGAGACACGGUCCAGACUCCUACGGGAGGCGGCAGUGGGGAAUUUUGGACAAUGGGCGCAAGCCUGAUCCAGCAAUGCCGCGUGCAGGAUGAAGGCCUUCGGGUUGG